GACGAACGCUGGCGGCGUGCCUAAUACAUGCAAGUCGAACGCACUCUCGUUUAGAUUGAAGGAGUUUGCUCCUGAUUGAUAAACAUUUGAGUGAGUGGCGGACGGGUGAGUAACACGUGGGUAACCUGCCCUAAAGUGGGGGAUAACAUUUGGAAACAGAUGCUAAUACCGCAUAAAACCUAACACCGCAUGGUGUAGGGUUGAAAGAUGGUUUCGGCUAUCACUUUAGGAUGGACCCGCGGUGCAUUAGUUAGUUGGUGAGGUAAAGGCUCACCAAGACCGUGAUGCAUAGCCGACCUGAGAGGGUAAUCGGCCACACUGGGACUGAGACACGGCCCAGACUCCUACGGGAGGCAGCAGUAGGGAAUCUUCCACAAUGGACGAAAGUCUGAUGGAGCAACGCCGCGUGAGUGAAGAAGGUUUUCGGAUCGUAAAACUCCGUUGUUGGAGAAGAAUGUAUCUGAUAGUAACUGAUCAGGUAGUGACGGUAUCCAACCAGAAAGCCACGGCUAACUACGUG
rnacentral:rRNA from 1 species